AACGAACGCUGGCGGCAGGCUUAACACAUGCAAGUCGAGCGCCCCGCAAGGGGAGCGGCAGACGGGUGAGUAACGCGUGGGAAUCUACCCAUCUCUACGGAAUAACGCAUGGAAACGUGUGCUAAUACCGUAUACGCCCUUCGGGAGAAAGAUUUAUCGGAGGUGGAUGAGCCCGCGUUGGAUUAGCUAGUUGGUGGGGUAAAGGCCUACCAAGGCGACGAUCCAUAGCUGGUAUGAGAGGAUGCUCAGCCACACUGGGACUGAGACUCGGCCCAGACUCCUACGGGAGGCAGCAGUGGGUAAUAUUGGACAAUGGGCGCAAGCCUGAUCCAGCCAUGCCGCGUGAGUGAUGAAGUCCCUAGUGUUGUAAAGCUCUUUCACCGGUGAAGGUAAUGACGGUAACCGGAGAAGAAGCCCCGGCUAACUUCGUGCCAGCCGCCGCCGUAACAC
rnacentral:rRNA from 1 species